CUAGCGGCAGGCCUAAUACAUGCAAGUCGGACGGGAUUGGGGUGUAGCUUGCUACAUUCCAUGAUAGUGGCGCACGGGUGCGUAACGCGUGAACCACCUGCCCAUGUGGGGGGAUAGCCCGUUGAAAGACGGAUUAAUACCGCAUAACAUCACCGGGCGGCAUCGUUCGGUGAUCAAAUAUUUAUAGGACAUGGAUGGGCUCGCGUGACAUUAGUUAGUUGGUAGGGUAACGGCCUACCAAGACUAUGAUGUCUAGGGGCUCUGAGAGGAGAAUCCCCCACACUGGUACUGAGACACGGACCAGACUCCUACGGGAGGCAGCAGUAGGGAAUAUUGGUCAAUGGGCGGGAGCCUGAACCAGCCAUGCCGCGUGCGGGACGAAGGCCCUAUGGGUCGUAAACCGCUUUUGUACGGGAACAACCGCAUAUACGUGUAUCUGUCUGAGUGUACCGUAAGAAUAAAGAUCGGCUAACUCCGUGCCAGCAGCCGCGGUAAUACGGAAGAUCCGAGCGUUAUCCGGAAUUAUUGGGUUUAAAGGGUGCGUACGCGGCACUUUAAGUCGGGGUGAAAUACGGUGGCUCAACCAUCGCAGUGCCUUUGAUACUGAAGUGCUUGAAUGUGGCCGAAGGGAGGCGGAACGGGACAAGUAGCGGUGAAAUGCAUAGAUAUGUCCCAGAACCCCGAUUGCGAAGGCAGCUUCCUAGACCAUGAUUGACUCUGAUGCACGAAAGCGUGGGGAUCGAACAGGAUUAGAUACCCUGGUAGUCCACGCCCUAAACGAUGAUGACUCGAUGUUAGCGAUAUAGUGUUAGCGUCCAAGCGAAAGCGUUAAGUCAUCCACCUGGGGAGUACGAUCGCAAGAUUGAAACUCAAAGGAAUUGACGGGGGCCCGCACAAGCGGAGGAGCAUGUGGUUUAAUUCGAUGAUACGCGAGGAACCUUACCCGGGCUUGAAAGUUACUGAAUCAUCCAGAGACGGAUGAGUCCUUCGGGACAGGAAACUAGGUGCUGCAUGGCUGUCGUCAGCUCGUGCCGUGAGGUGUUGGGUUAAGUCCCGCAACGAGCGCAACCCCUAUGUUUAGUUGCCAGCAUGUAAUGAUGGGGACUCUAAACAGACUGCCUGUGCAAACAGUGAGGAAGGUGGGGACGACGUCAAGUCAUCAUGGCCCUUACGUCCGGGGCUACACACGUGCUACAAUGGGCGGUACAGCGGGCAGCUACCUGGCAACAGGAUGCGAAUCUCCCAAAGCCGUCCACAGUUCGGAUCGGGGCCUGCAACUCGGCCCCGUGAAGCUGGAUUCGCUAGUAAUCGCGUAUCAGCAAUGACGCGGUGAAUACGUUCCCGGGCCUUGUACGCACC
rnacentral:rRNA from 1 species